rnacentral:rRNA from 1 species
CAAACCGGGAGGAAGGUGGGAUGACGUACAAGUCCUCAUGGCCCUUUAUGACCAGGGCUACACACGUGCUACAAUGGCGCAUACAAAGAGAAGCGACCUCGCGAGAGCAAGCGGACCUCAUAAAGUGCGUCGUAGUCCGGAUUGGAGUCUGCAACUCGACUCCAUGAAGUCGGAAUCGCUAGUAAUCGUGGAUCAGAAUGCCACGGUGAAUACGUUCCCGGGCCUU